UUUCAGAGUUGAAAAGAGGAAAAGGAUGACGAGGAUUAAUUUGAGGAUGUCCAAUUCAUAGUCCAUCAUUUCCUUUUUUUUUUUGUUAUCGAUGAU
rnacentral:pre_miRNA from 1 species